AACGGAGAAGGCAAACGUUAUCCGGAAUUAUUGGGCGUAAAGCGUCCGUAGGUGGUUGGCCAAGUCUGCUGUCAAAGGGUGGGGCUUAACCUCAUAAAGGCAGUGGAAACUGGCGAGCUAGAGUGCGGUAGGGGUAGGGGGAAUUCCCAGUGUAGCGGUGAAAUGCGUAGAGAUUGGGAAGAACAUCGGUGGCGAAAGCGCCCUGCUGGGCCUGCACUGACACUGAGGGACGAAAGCUAGGGGAGCGAAAGGG
rnacentral:rRNA from 1 species